GGACCGAGCGGUGACUUAAGCAACGGAGUGCAGUGAAGCCCAUUAUUCUCCUUCCUAGCAGCCGCUCUGCGGAGCCUGUAGCGCGCGGCCCUCACACUCCGGCCCGAGAUGAAUGCCGCGGCAGAAGCCGAGUUCAAUAUCCUUCUGGCCACCGACUCCUACAAGGUUACUCACUAUAAACAAUACCCACCCAACACAAGCAAAGUUUAUUCCUACUUCGAAUGCCGUGAAAAGAAGACAGAAAAUGCCAAAGGAAGGAAGGUGAAAUACGAGGAAACAGUAUUUUAUGGGUUGCAGUACAUUCUUAAUAAGUACUUAAGAGGUAAAGUGGUGACCGAAGAGAAAAUCCAGGAAGCCAAAGAGGUUUACAAAGAGCAUUUCCAAGAUGAUGUCUUCAAUGAAAAGGGAUGGAACUACAUUCUUGAUAAACAUGAGGGGAAACUUCCAAUAGAAGUAAAAGCUGUUCCUGAGGGCUCUGUCAUUCCCAGAGGAAACGUUCUCUUCACAGUAGAAAACACAGACCCAGAGUGUUACUGGCUUACAAAUUGGAUUGAGACUAUACUUGUUCAGUCUUGGUACCCAAUCACAGUGGCCACAAAUUCAAGGGAGCAGAAGAAAAUAUUGGCCAAAUAUUUGUUAGAAACUUCUGGUAACUUAGAUGGUCUGGAAUACAAGUUACAUGAUUUUGGCUACAGAGGAGUCUCUUCCCAGGAGACUGCUGGCAUAGGAGCCUCUGCUCAUUUGGUUAACUUCAAAGGAACAGAUACAGUAGCUGGAAUUGCUUUAAUUAAAAAAUACUACGGAACAAAAGAUCCUGUUCCUGGUUAUUCUGUUCCAGCAGCAGAACACAGCACCAUAACAGCUUGGGGGAAAGACCAUGAAAAAGAUGCUUUUGAACAUAUAGUAACACAGUUUUCAUCAGUGCCUGUGUCUGUGGUCAGCGAUAGCUAUGACAUUUAUAAUGCAUGUGAGAAAAUAUGGGGUGAAGAUCUGAGACAUUUAAUAGUAUCAAGAAGUACAGAGGCACCACUAAUAAUCAGACCUGAUUCUGGAAAUCCUCUUGACACUGUAUUAAAGGUUUUGGAUAUUUUAGGUAAGAAGUUCCCUGUUACAGAGAACUCAAAGGGCUACAAGCUACUGCCACCUUACCUUAGAGUUAUUCAAGGGGAUGGAGUAGAUAUUAAUACCUUACAAGAGAUCUUAGAAGGCAUGAAGCAAAAAAAAUGGAGUAUUGAAAAUAUUGCCUUUGGCUCUGGUGGAGCUUUGCUGCAGAAGUUAACAAGAGAUCUCUUAAAUUGUUCCUUCAAGUGUAGUUAUGUGGUAACCAAUGGCCUUGGGAUUAAUGUCUUCAAGGAUCCAGUUGCAGAUCCCAACAAAAGGUCCAAAAAAGGUCGAUUGUCUUUACAUAGGACACCAGCAGGGAAUUUUGUUACGAUUGAGGAAGGAAAAGGAGCUCUUGAGGAAUAUGGUCAUGAUCUUCUUCAUACUGUCUUCAAGAAUGGAGAAGUGACAAAAAGCUAUUCAUUUGAUGAAGUAAGAGAAAAUGCAAAACUGAAUAUUGAACUGGAAGCAGCACCUCAUUAGGCUUUGUUUUAUGGCUCUGUGUGUGUAUGGAUGUGUACAUGUGUAUAUGUGCAUUGUACGCACGUAUACACUGUGUGUGUGUGUAAUGCAUAGAUAGUGUUUAUUGUACAUAUACGUGGGGUUUCUUUGUGUUUUAUGACACAUUACAGCCAAAUUAUUUGUUGGUUUAUGGACAUUCUGCCCUUUCAUUCUUUUCUCUUUUUUUCCAGUGUUUAGGUGAUCUCAAAUUAGGAAACACACUUAACCAUGUAACAGAUUAAUGCUAAAGUAAGCUUUUUAGGGCCCUUUGCCAAUAGAUAGUAAUUCAAUCUGGUAUUGAUCUUUUCACAAAUAACAGAACUGAGAAACUUUUAUAUAUAACAGAAGAUCACAUAAAACAGAUUUGCAUAAAAUUAUCAUGAUUGCUUUAUGUUUAUAUUUAACUUGUAUUUUUGUACAAACAAGAUUGUGUAAGAUAUAUUUAAAGUUUCAGUGAUUUAACACUCUUUCCAACUUUUCAUGAUUUUUAUGAGCACAGACUUUCAAGAAAAUACUUGAAAAUAAAUUACAUUGCCUUUUGUCCAUUAAUCAGCAAAUAAAACAUGGCCUUAACAAAGUUGUUUGUGUUAUUGUACAAUUUGAAAAUUGUCAGGAUAUACCCAAUAGAAUUACUAACCUCACUGCCCCUUGUAGAAUAUGUAUUAAUCAUUCUACAUCAAACAAGAUAAUGGUUGAUACUGGAAUGUUUAGGCACUGUACAGUGAUUAUGUACCUUGGUCGUUGUAUUGUACCAGUGAAAUGCCAAAUUUGAAAGGCCUGUACUGCAAUUUUAUAUGUCAGAUAUUGCCUCUGGCGCUAAUGUGCACCUCAAGAUUUUAAGGAUAUAAUGUUUUUAGAGAGAAUUUCUGCUUCCACUAUAGAAUAUAUACAUAAAUGUAAAAUAUUGACAGAAGUGGAAAUGGCAUAUUUUAAAGUAAUUACACUUCUGAAUUUAUUUUUCAUAUUCUGUAGUUGAUAUUUCUUAAAUGAAUUACUGGAGCUGGUAGUGAUUAUACUUAUUUUAAAAUGUUUUGAUUUUGUUACAUUUUUCAUUAAGUUUAAAAAAAAUUAAAUUGGAUAUUAAAUUGUAUGGGCAUCAUUUAUUAAUUUUAAACAUAAUCCCUCAAAUAAUACUCAAGCAAGUUUUCAUAUGAAUGUAAAUUACCCCCAUGAAACGUUUCAGUAGAAGAAUCUUAAAGCAGAAAGUUGGAUAAAUUCAAAUUGUUCGACUUUAGAGUAUCUGGAGUGAUUGACUGCUAGACUCUGAAAUAGUCAUUGUACUUGACUAGAGAACAGUUUUUUUCAGGCAACUUUUUUAUGUUUAGGUGUGUUCUUCUAAGGCAGGGGUUGGCAAGCCAAAUUCGGCCUGGUACCUGUUUUUGUAAACGUACAUUGUCUAUGGGCUACUUUCACAUUAUAACAGCAGAAUUAAAUGGUUACAGCAAAGACUAUAUGGCCUAAAAAGCCUAAGAGAUUAUUACCUGGCCUGUUACAGAAAAAGUUUGCUGACCACUGUUCUAAAAAAAGGAGUGUGCCUUGAAUUUUAAUGAACUGUUGGUUUGCAGGGAAGGGAGGAGGCUAAAUUGACAAUGGAAUUUUUCUCUUCUUUUGUCCUCUCUUUUUUCAUUUAGGAAUUUGAUAUUGAGAAACUAAUUUUAAAAAGCUUUAACAAUGUGAUAUUAAAUGUGAAGUUUUAAAAACUGAAAAGCCAUAAAUGAUCUGUUUUAAACAGUUACAUGAGAAAAUACUCUGCCACUAGAAAAAUUUAGUUAGAGGUGAAUUAUCUUUAUUAAAUGUCUUUUAUAAGAGGCAUUAGAAUAUAGGUUUUUGCAGGUGAUUCUAAAUACUUGUUUAGUGAGAACAAUGAGCGUUAUUCACAUUCAGUGAGAAUCUUCAUCCUGUAUCCCCUGGAUGAAAAAUAAUUUUAAGCUGGUUUUUUUAAAUAUAUUUAAGUAAAGAUUAGUGGUAUUAAGAACACAUCUUUUUUCACAAAAUGUGUUAAGGGUUUUAUCAUAGCGAAUUAAAAGAAACUAUAUUUAUUACCAAUAACAAUUUUGAUAAGCACCCAUAAUUUUGUAUUUGUUUAAACAGUAGAAUUACACUACAAACAGUAUUUGUGUUCUGUGAAUUUCAGGAGUUUUAGAAUAUCUGGAGGAGUUUUAUUUUGAAACUUUCAGUGAAUGCUAAAAGCCGUACAUUGUACAUGUUCACAGAUUGGGGUGGGAGGUGGAAUAAUUAAUUCUGUUAGGUCUUAGCCACUUGGAACUGAUUUAUCCUGAAUUUCUGCCACCACAGGCUUAGUAUUUGAUCACCCCCAUGCUGAGCACCAAAUGGUUAACAUGGAUAUCAAAUAGAACUCUGCCGUGUGUCACCCUUAAAUCAGCCUAAGUCUCCCAAACAAGAGCAAAUGGCGUGUAUGAGUUUGCUUAAGUCAUUAGAUUUGUAGUUGACAUAUUAAUUAAUCCCCCUCAAUUCAUAAUAACAUGAAGUAUUUAUAUUUUAAAUAGAAGGUCAGAGUUCUGUGUUAAGACUCAAAUUAUUUGUUCUCUAUAAAAGUAAAAUAGCUUUUAUGAUUAUCCCUUAUUUAAUUUCUUGAAAUAAAUUAUUUUUAAAAAAUUUAUAAUGAAAUCCAUCUUGGAAAAUUAGGAGAAAAAUGGCAAGGUAUUUAUUGUUCUGUUUGCCAUAAUUUAGAACUCACACUUAAAUAUUUUGUAGUUUUACAUUUCUUUUUAACCCAUUUAGGGGAGAAUGUUAACUUUCUCUGAAGUCGUAUGUCAAAUCAAUUCUAAUAUGUACUCAGAAUUAAAGAUAAACAUGUAAUAAACAUGGAAAUAAAGUUUAGCCAUAUUAGUGAAACAUUAAAUUUGACUGUGUGCUUCAAGUAAUGACAUUUUUAGACCUGCCUUUUUUAGGUAUUCUUCCAGUUCAAAGAAUUAGAGAAAGAGGAAGGUGUCAAGGAUGACUCCUAUUUUCUGCCUUAUGCAACUAUAUGGAUGGCACUACCUCUUACUAAGAGAGAACACUGGAGGGAGCCUUGAUUUUGGGAGAAAGAGCACAAUUCCUGUGUUAAGGUUUCCAAAGCCUUUGAGACAUUUAAAUGGAGAGAGUAAGUAGGUUGUUGGGUAUACAGGUUUGAGGACAGAGGAUACUUUCCUAGAGAGACUACAGAGCAGGGGUUAGUAAACCAUGGGCCUUAGGCCAAUUCCAACCCACGCUCUGUUUUUGUAAGUAAAGUUUUAUUGGAGCACUUAACUUUCAGUUAAGUAUUGUCUGGUUGUUUUCACACUACAGUAGGCAGAGUUGAGUAGUCACAGUGGAAGCAAUAUGGCCCAGAAAGGGCCAUAAUAAUUAACUAUCUAGUUCUUUACAGAAAGAGUAUGCUGGCUCUUGCUGUAGAGUAUAAAGAAAAGAGGACCUAGGACAAAACCAAGAGGAGCUCUUAACAUUUGAAGGUUAAGUGGCAGAGGAUAAAGAGGCAGAGGAGACUGACAAGUGGUGACCAAAGAGAUGAAAGGAAAGCCAGGUGGAGUAAAGCCCUGAAAACUAAAGGAAGGGCAUUUCUCAGCUCAGGUGUUGAAUGUUCUGAGAGGUCAAGUAGGUUUAGCCACAGGGAAAUAAUUGGUGGCCUUAGUGACAUUGCUCUCCAAGAAUGCUAAAAGCUGUACAUUGUGCAGGAGUUAGGAUUUUACCAGAUAAGUUUGAUAGAACAACAAAGAGGCAGGGGCGCUCAGUAUAGUAUAUUGGCAUGAGAGUUAUUGAAAUAAUGCUCCUACAGAGGCUAGCUGGAUAGGAACAGAAGUGAAGCCAGCACAAAGCCGUCUAAUGGACGGGAAAACUAGAAUUCCAGUGGACAGUCACAUGACAGUUGUAAUAUAUUGGGAGUAGUUGCACAAGCAGAUUUGGAGGAUAGAAAUUGUUGUCAAACUAGGAUGCUUGGAUUAAUAAUCUGAGAACAGCAGAUUCAUGGCAUGGUGAGAUGUGACUGUGCAGUGGCUGAAUGAAAUAAAGAUAAGUGGAACCAAGAUAGUAUUAAGGAACCUGAGAGGACAAGUGGGUUGUGCGGAUGGACGUUAAAAUCAUCCAGAAAGAUGGCAGAAGAUGGAAUGGAGAGGAAAACUAAGUCAGGUGCCAAAGCAUCCCGUGAGUGAAGGGGAGCAAUCAGAGCUGCAGGAGGCAGCAAUAAAGGAAGGGUGUGAGCCUCAAAAGAAUCAAGGAUUAUUCUAAGAACUUGGGGAAUUAAUGGUCAGGAAGUGGCGGUGGAGGCCACUAACCCUUUCAGUCCUGAGAAUGAGAUGAAAAGGCAAGCCAGCACAGCCUCUUUGAAGAGUUCAGGCAUUUAUUGACAAGUACAGACUGACUCAAAAGUUGUCUCAUAUGUUGUCAGUGGUUUGAUGCACCUUGCCGGGCAAUCAAGCAAUAUUAGUUGAAUUAAUGAAUGAAUGGAGAAGAAGUUUCGUCUGGGUUUUAUUGGCUGCUGCAAACACUCCUUUCAGUGGAAUAGGUCUAAGGCUCAAGGCCUUAAACAUGUUUUGUGUUGAAUGUUUAAAGAUUUACAUUUUGUUUAUCUUUUAAAGAGACCAGCCAAAGCAUUUUUGCAGCAUAGUAAAAUCAGUGAUACCUUGUUACCUCUUAUAUGUAUUCAGAUUCCUCCCUCCUCAUUUUAAAUUAUCUUUUUCUUUUAUUCAUAAGUUUCUGUAAUUGUUACUUGCCCCUAAAGCAAUUCUUUGUUUUACAAUUCCUCAUUCCAUUAAAACUUGUAUAUUAAAAUUUUUCCUUGGGGACUUCCAGCAAAAAAGAAAUAUGUUCUUGAAAGGAGUUUUAGAAUCACUGUAAUUAUCAACUUAAUCAAAGUUUUUUCACUAACACAGAAAUGGGUCCUUAAUAAAGGAAUUUUGCCUGCAUGCUGUCACAUGGGCUAAUGGACCCCUUGCAUUACUCUUGGUGACUUAAAUGGUAUAUUUCAAGGGACCUGAGGCUUUUACCUCUGUACAGGGCCCACACUGCUCUCUAGGUGAAUAAUGUAGUCUGGCAAGUAACUUUUCUACCAGUUCAUAGCAUUAUCUUUGUGCAGAAGAAUAUGAUUCUGAUUUACAUUGUUUUAUGUUCACCUUAGAAAAAAAGAAAUAUCACUCUUUGGUUGGCAACAAUUUGAUUUAAAAAUGCAGUAACCCUGGCCUGCUUUAUUUUUUUAAUUAUAUAAUUGGCUGCUGAGCUGUUUCUUCUUUGACAUAAACUAGGGAGUACAUUCUGUAUCUUUUAUUAAGAUGGAUUAGCUAUUGUGAUUAUGAGCUUUCCCAUAAAUUGGCUACAAAUUUAAUUCUGAUUCGGUCUUCCUGAACAGCCUGAAGAUUACCAGAUUUUUGACCCUGGAAGAAAACAGCUCUUACCUUCAGCCUCUGUCUUUCUACAGCUUUCUCCUCUCAUAAUAAACGUGUUCCUGUUUGUACCACCCUUAAAAAAUAAUAACUUUCUCUUGGUAACACUAGCCCUAGUCUUCCUUCUCUCAUUCAUAUCUGUACUUCUCAAGCUAUGUACAUUUACUCUUCAUUUACACACUCUCUCUCACAUGUACACACAUACACACUCUCACUCUGUCUCUCAUACAUACUCACAUUCAUACAUCUCCCAUCUGGUUCUCACCCAAACCUUUCUAAUGAUGCUUGUCUCAUUAAACAGUAACCUCCCCAAUUGCCAAAUGAAUGAAUUUAGUUUAUAUCUUACCAAAGGACCUCUUUUGCAUUUACCACUCUAGUAAUUCAUUCUUUAUCUUUCGUUGUAACAUUCUUGGGUCUUCUCCAUCUCUGUGAUGAUCCAGUCUCUCCCUUGGGCUCUUGAUACACUUGCCUUUUAAAUGUUGGCACAUCACAUUUCUCUCCAUAUUCACCUUGGCUGAUCUCAGCCAUCCACAUAGUCUUGACUAUCACUUACAUACUAAAGACUCCAUACACUUAAUAUCUCAAUAGAUUUUUGAACCUUUGAAUCUCUCUACUUGUCUAAUGCACAUUUCUAUCCAGAUGCCUACUGAAAUGGAACAAGACCAAACUUAUCACACUCCCUUUCUCAUUUGGAGAUUCAACCAGCCACCCAAGCAAGAAAUCUGGGUGUCAUCUUUGACUUCCCUCUCCAUUACCCCACAAAGAUCAAGAGCAACUCAAUCAUAACCCUGUAGUGGAGAGACCCACCAGGGAAGGCCAGAUUGACUUGAGGUUGAGACGGCACCACAUAUCCAACAAUUGAAAUCUUUUAAAAUGGUGAGCAUAAGCAUCUGCCCAAUCUAGGAUAACAUUAGUAGAGGGAUGACUGUAAAAAAAGGUAAAGAGAAAAAAAAGAUAAAGAGGUGAAUUUUAAGGCCUGGUUCAGAGUCUUGGGUCAACUGUCUGCCUCAGAUGUCAUCUGCUUCUGGCCACAGUGGCAUUUAAAUGUAACCUUCAAUUUUCCAGUGUGUUGGAGUCUUAGCCUUUUUUUAAUUGUGACAAAUAGAUCCAAGGUUUUAUUCCCUGUAAUCUGGCUGCACAUGGAUUAGUGAGGAGGACUAAAUAUGGUCCCUUCCAAUGAGGUUCUAAUGAGUCUUUUGUGUCUCUUCCAAUAUACACAUUCUUCUGGGGUUAUGUUAGGCAGACUUCGGCAGCCUAGUUUCUGUUUGUCAAAGGCUACAGUAACCUGUGAAAGAUAUUCUAAAAACUGGCAAUACUUCACUAAUUCAGGUUGAACAAUGUUAGGGUCAGUCCAGGCAACAUAAGGAAGGACCAUGGGUCUCCCAUAAUUAUUUCAUAGGAGUAAGUUUGUAAGAUUUAAAUGAUGUGGACCUCAGUUUUAAAAUAACUAAGGGAAGGACCUUAGUCCAGGAUAAAUUUAAAGUUUUGCAAAGCUUUGCUAUUUUCUAUAUAGGGACAAUGUAUCCUUUGAUAAAUGGGAAAAACUCAACACAGUUUUUGCAUGACUUGACUGGCGAAAUGAGUUUCCUGAUCACUACAAAGAGUUUUUGGUGCCCCCCAGGUGAGUAUGAUGUUUUCAAGAAGUUUUCUUUUCUACAAAGGCUGCAGUCGCAUGACAGCAGGGAAAGCCGUCUACCCAAUGUGAAAAUCUACAAAUCAUUACUAAUACAUGUUUAUAACCAUUUGAGGGUAGAAGCUGAAUAAAAUCUAGCUGCCAUUCAAGCAUAGGCCCAGAAGGUAGAGUAUUGUCCAGUGUCUUAGUUAUCUCGGGCUGCUAUAACAGAAAUACCACAAGUGGAUGGCUUUAACAAACAAAAUUUAUUCUCUCACAGGUUACCAAAACCAAUCAAACCCAUUGCUGCCAAGUAGAUUCUGAUUCCUGGUGACCCUAUAGGACAGAGUAGAACUGCCCCAUAGGGUUUCCAAGGAGCAACUCUUAGGUUUGAGCUGCUAAUCCUUUGAAUAGCAGCCAAACUCUUAAUCACUGCACUACCUGGGCUCCUCUCACAGUUUAGGAGGCUAGAAGUCUGAAUUUAGGGUACCAACUCCAGGGGAAGGCUUUCUCUGUCUUGGCUCUUGGGCAAGGUCCUUGUCAUCAAUCUUCCCCUGGGUCUAGGAGUUUCUCAGCACAGAGAUUCCAGGUCCAAAGGAUGCAUUCCACUCCUGGCUCUUCUUUCUUGGUGGUAGGAGGUCGCUCUCUCUCUGCUCACUUCUUUCUCCUAUUAUCUCUUGUAAGAUAAAAGGUCAGGCAGGCACACCCCAGGGGAAUUCACCUUACAUUGAAUCAGGGCUGUGACCUGAGUAAGGGUGUUGCAUCCCACCUUAAUCCUCAUUAACAUGAACUAAUCCUGCCUCGUUAACGUAACGGACAGCUCACUCCCAAAAUGAAGGAUAAUCAAACCACAAAAUGGAGGACUACCACGCAGUACUGGGAAUCAUAGCCUAGCCUAGUUAACACAUGUUUCAGGGGGACACAAUUCAAUCCAAGAUAUCCAGGAAGGACUUUAAGGUAUUUUCUGGGAUAGUAGCAAGGGCAAAUAGGGCAAUGGUGUUUAGCACCCUCCAAAAGUUUUCCCCACCAAUAUUUUUUAGGAUCUCAGUCAUUUAAUCUUGUCCCAUGUGGGACCUUCACAUGAGGCUCGCAUCAUAGAAACAUGCAGGAAAUUGGGUAAGACAGUUUUCUCAUUAGGCUCAGUCCACAAUUUAGUAGCAGGAUCUUGGUAAUAGCCUGACCUUUUCCGUGCCUUAAUUUCAUCUGUUUGGGAUAAUUGUUGGUGUUUUAAAAGUUUUUCUAAAGUUAGUUAAUGAAGGUUAACGUUAUCAAUAGACAAAUUUGGAGAGUCCUUUUCUUCAUUAAUCUUAAGUGCAGAAAUAACUGGAGAGGCAACUCAUUUGGCUGCCAUAUCAUCAAUACUAUUUCCUCCAGAUUCUUCAGUUUAGGGUAUUCCUUUUAGUUGGUGAGCUUGUAUUUUUAUCAAAGCAGUUUCAGAGGGGAGUAUCUAGAAGGUCUGCUACUAUAGCUCUAUUUUUUAAUGGCAUCUCUAGAAUCUUUGUUUCCAUAAUAUGCCAAAGUCAUGUACAAUUCCAAAACUCUAUCUACUCUCUAUAAAAAUAAUUUUUGAUUUUCCUGAAGCAAUUCUAUAAGCAGUAGUGAGGCAAUUAAUUUGGCUUAUUGGUUUGAAGUGGCUUCAGGGAGAGCCUGACUUUCAGCGGUUUCAGUAGAAGUAAUAACAGCAUAUCCAGCUUGAUAGUGAGGACUAGUAGGGUUAGGUUUUAAAUAGGAACCAUACACAAUAAAACUAAAUCAAGAUUAGUAAAGGAGUCUCGUUUAAGUCUUGCCAAGCAAUUAAAAGUUGCUCAGUCUAGUCUAGACAAUCAUGUGUAGGAUAGUUGUUCUCACUGGCGGUGGAGAGAAGAGUAGCUGGAUUUAAACAGGCCACAGAGUAUAGUCUACUGUUAGAUGCAGCCAGGAGGAGACCUUCAUAGGAGGCAAACCUUUUUGCAGAAAAAUACCGUGUCAAGGCAGAAUUAAGUAAGGCAGACACAGCUUGGGGCACAUGGACAUAUACAGAGUUUCCCAGUACCACAUCUGUUGUGGUUUCUACUAGUUUGGCAGUAGCAGCCACAGCCCUAAGUCAGGGAUGUCAUCCCCUGGCUACAGGUGAAGCUGUAGGGUAUAAUAACUUAUAGGUCUUUGUUGUCCCUCAUAUUUGUGAAUUAGUACAUCUAAGGCAUUUCCAGAUACUUCAUGUACAAAUAAGGAAAAAUCUAGAUACUAAUUAGGGAAACCUAGAGUAGGUAUGUUCAUUAAAGCCCUUUCUUGAACUACAGAUUCUCAAUCUUCUGGUGAAAUUUGGAAUAAAUUCAGCUCAGAGACUUUUAAAUAUUUGUAUAAAAGUUGAGCCAACAAAGAAAAAUCGGAAAUCCAGGUUCAACAAUAGUCUCAGAGUCUUAGAAACCCCUGUAGCUGUUUCUUUGUUUCUGGUAUAGGAAAGACAAGAAUAACUUCUUUUGUUUAGAAUAAAUAGAGGUGCCUUUUGUAGAAAUUAGGUGGCCCAAAUAUUUAACAGAAAGAUGAGCCAACUGUAAUUUUUCGCUGGAUACCUUAUAUGUACCAACAGCCAGAUGUUUUAAUAAAGCUAUACUGUCAUCUUGGUAAUGCUCCUUAGAACCAAGGAUAGCGAGACUGUGGCUUACAUACUUGGACAUGUUGUCAGGAGGAAUGAGUCCCUGGAGAAAGAAAUCAUGCUUGGCAAAGUACAGGGUCAGCGGAAAAGAGAAAGACCUUCAAUGAGAUGGAUCGACACAGUGGCUGCCAGAAUUGGCUCCAGCAUAACAAUGAUUGUGAGGAUGGCACAGGACCUAGCAGUGUUUCAUUCUGUGGUAUAUAGGGUCACUAUGAGUCGGAACUGACUCGAUGGCACCUAACAACAACAACAACAUACUGUCAUCAAGGCCACUUGCUGGGGGGUUGAACAAACUAGCAAAUCAACACACUGCAGUAAUGUGGAUUUGUUUGAAAACUGUAAAGUCUGAAAAUCUGCAUGCAGAAUCUAAGAGAAAUAGAUGGGAGAUUCAGUAAAUUCUUGGGACAUUACAGUUCACCUAAAUUAUUGAUUUUCCCGGGUAAAGCAUAUGAACAUUGACUUUCAAAGUGGACAGCAAUACUGAAAAAGAUACUGCAAAGACCCACAGCCAUAAAAUGAGUUGCAUCUGAAGGGACAUUGGAGAGUAAUAAAUAAGGACUAGGAUCUACCAGGAAUCUAGGAGAACAAUACAGUUGAUUGCACACAAAUCUUGAACAUAUCUCCAACCCCUAUUAUUUGUUUUUUUAAUUGGAAGAACAGGAGAAUUACUAGGGCUUAUACAUUUUUUAUACAUAGGACCGUUAAACCUUUAGAAAGUUAGUCUUGUAUAGUGGGAGCUAGUCCUUCUUUUGCUUCUUGUUUGAGUGGAUACUAGGGAAUUUUUGACAGAGGUUUGAAUAAAUCUGUUUGAAUUUUAAUUGGCUCAGCUGACAAAGCUUGAUGUACAUCUGUGGAUGUGGUGGCCCAUAACGUUUCGGGAACUAGGGAAAAGAUGUCAGAAGGGAGAGGACUAGGCUGAGGUGAAUUUUGGAGAGGCAUGACAAGUCCUCACAUACAGCAAAUGGCUUCUUUGGGAAUAUUGUCUAAUUCAGAGGCUGUCUCUGUUUACUUAGGGAUAUCAGCCAGACUCAAUAAUAUUUCCCCAUUUUCAUUAAAUUGUAAAUGGCAAUUCCAUUGGAUAAAAGAUCUCUUCCCAAUAAAUUGACAGGGGUACUGGAGCUCAGCCAAAAAAGCAUAUAAAUCUUCAGUAGGACCAAGAGAUAACAGAACAGGUUGGGUAUGAAUCAAUGCUUGUUUCUGAUUUGUGACCUCCACCACUUCUGAGAUUUUAGUACUUCGGGGCUUUUGUAAAUAGGUGGGGUUAAUAGCAGACAGGGUGCAUCCAUUGUCAAAUAAAAAAAUGGCAGGUUCUCCUUUAAUAAAUAAUUUCUCCUUGUGGAUUAAAAGCCAUCACAGGAAAAGUCCCUGUUCUUCUCUGAAGCCCCUUCAUUCUGCAUCAGAUUGUAGGAUUUUCUUUUUAAGGGUGGUAUGUCAGUCUUUUAAUUUUAAUUUACAGCAUUCAUUUUUCCAGUGGCCAGGUUUUUUACAAUAGUGACAAAUACCUGCCUUUUUGCCAGGUUUAGCAUUUUUCUUUUGACUGGGAGAUUGUAGUUGUUGCAACUACAAAGGGCUAUUAAUUUAUUAGCCUUAGAAACCCUUUCAGCUUCAAGAGCCUGGGAAAGUUUGUAAGCUAAGUGGGUUAGCUUUGCAAUAGGAGCUGUCUCCCAGUCUAAUCGAUGUUGCUUUACUAAGACUGAGAUCUCAGGUUUAAGAUGGAAUAUGAAAAUAGUAUUGAAAGCACUGGAGACACCAAGCUCCUUCAAAGUGAGGCCAGAGCUUUCCGCUGUUCAAGUAGUGAGAAGGGUCUAGAUACAAAGAGAACAAAGGAAAGGUAGGGGGUUAAUGACUGGUGAUAGAUAAGAUCAGCUUCAGAUUGAAGUCCUGUGAAAUGUAAAGGCCAGCCACUUGGCUAGGAAGGAGUGAGUAGCCACCUAAUUGAGUCGUGCCAGCCAGUUUGGUUUUACGUGAUUGCUGCCAUGAGCACAUUUUUCUCGGAAACAAGUUGUUUACAUCUUCAUACAGUCUUCCCAGGAAAAAUGGUUUACAUCCUGACUUUUUUCUUCCUAGGAAUGCAUAUUGACCCCGUCAUUCUUACAUCUGACAUGAGUGCCUCCAGUUUGAAACUUUUUCAUUUAUGUGUCUAUGCUUCUGACUCAUGACGACCCCAUAUGUUACACAGUAGAGCUGAGCUCCAUAGGAUUUUCUUGGCUGCGCUCUACAGAAACAGAUCAUCAGGCCAUUCUGAUGCACCUCCGGGCAGAUGCCAGCCUCCAGCCUCCCAGCUAGCAGCCAAGUGUGUUAACCACUUGCACCACCCAGAGAUUCCCUGAGCACACAGACAAAAAAAACAGACAGGGUGGGCAAAUGAGGCUGACACCCGGGGUUCCCAGCAGUCAGAAUCUACUCAAUGGCAACAGGUUUCAUUUAGGUAUUUUUUAAACUUCCCAGUUCUCCUACCUAGAAUAUGUACAACACAUUCCCUUCUCUACCCUCACAGAGAGAGUUGAACUCUCCAACCCCUCAUUCCAGAUGCAGCUCCUAAGACUCAGCUGAUCCAGAGCCACAGACAACUACUGAGCCAGAAGGUAGAUUAGGAGAUACUAUAUUUUUACCCGAGUAAUACAUGCCUUCUGCAUUUGUUUGCCAACCACACCCUCCCACCAUGAGGUAUUUUCAUAAGUGCUGUUAUGCCAUUUUUUUUUUUUACAUGUUGCUGUAAAAAAAUUAGCAUAGUGUACUUACAAAAAUACCUCUGAGGGAAGGGCAUGGUUGGCAAACAAACAUAGAAUAUGCACGUUAUUUGCAUUAAAAAUACGGUACUCCAACUGAAGUUGGAUAUAAGGAGUAAUAUUCCUUAAUAUUUCUUUCAUCAAGGCCUUGACUUACGGUAUAUCUAGGAACAUUUAUUUCCAACCAACACUGACUAACAGAGACUAUAUGGACCCUCACUCCUGAAACAACUGAAAAAAACAGGAAAAAAAAAAAAAAAGAAA